AAAUUCUGUCAAUUUAUCUUCACAAAGUGAGGUGUUUCAGAUCCAGUCUUUAUUUCAUGUCUAAUGAGGAGAAGAGCUGGACUGAGAGCAGAGAGGACUGUAUAAAGAGAGGAGCAGACCUGGUGAUUAUAAACAGCCAAGAUGAACAGGACUUCAUUGCUGACCAGCUGCAAGGAGUACAGCUUGGAUUGGUCUGAGUGACAGAGACACAGAGGGAAAGUGGAAAUGGGUGGACGGUACACCAGUGACCUCUGCUAAAUGGGGAAAAGAUCAACCAGAUAAUUUCAAUAAUGAUGAGGACUGUGGUGAGACUGGAUAUCUUGAUAGACACCACUGGAAUGACAGACCGUGCUCUUAUACACAAGGCUGGAUCUGUGAGAGGAGAGAAUAACAUAAUCUUCCCAAGUAAUUCAAGCUGACUAUAUUAAUCAGUUGGACGAGUUCUGACUGUGUCUUCAUAAAAUUAUGAUUGUUUAUUAUUUAACUGCUGUGCACAACAACAUUAUUUGGCACCUAAAUGUUUAUCUGUACUGCUUGACUAACUAUGGUAAGUUGUGAUAAUAUAAACUUCAUCCUGUGUGUUUUUCUCCCAAAUAGUGGUUCAAUCUUGUGUGCUAUGAUUAGCAACCACUUAAUAAGUGCUAUUAUUAAUUUUUUAUGACUGAUCACAAAGCAAUGGCCUUGAUAAUUGCAUUUAGAUGCUUUAUUAAUGAUAAAUAUUUUUAUUUAAAUUAACUUUCAUUUUACUUUGAAUUAAGUAUUAGGUAACACAUAAACCAAUUACUGUACUUAGGCUGUCAGUUGUUCAUGAGAUCAUUUAGAAAGUGUAAGUAAAUAAUUAAUCAAGUAUGUAAAUGCACAUUUAUACACCUAAUUGUUUAGGCAUACUGAUACUGUGUUAUAAACAUGCAUUCCUGUUACUGUAUAUGAAUCAUAAUUUAUAGGUAGUUAGAAAUCAUUUAGUACUUGUUAGUUUUUUAGUAGCUCAUCUAAUGUGUGAACAACUUGAACUCUGAAGUGGUCCAGCAGUUAUUCCCAUCUAAUUGUCCUCUUGACAUCAUUCCAUCUAGGGUGAUGAAACAAGAUUUUAACACAGUGGGGCCCAUGUCUUCUCUCGUUUAUUAACAGUUGUCUCAGUUCAGUUUUUUUUCCACCUUCAAACAUGCUGUGUUCAGGCCUCUUCUCAAGAAAUCAAAUCUUGAUCCUGCAGUUUUUAAGAAAAAAAAAAUCAUGUUCUAGAGAAAUUUUAAUCCGGCUUUAGAACACUUCACAGCACUUAAUCCGCUCCCCUGAAGGAACAGAAUGAUAUCCUCCUGUCCCUUGAUUCCAAAAAAACUGGUUCUGCUCAAUUCUCCUAACAUGUCUGGCACAAGAAGUUGGCCUUCAAGGUCCCAUACUGCAAUGGUUUAGGUCAUAUUUAACAAAUAGGACUUUCUCUGUCAUGAUUGAUGAUCUCUCUUCCUCCACAGCCACUUUUUCUCUCUGUCGUUCCGAAGGGUUUCAUUUUGGGCCACGUUUUAUUUUCCUUGUAAAUGCUGCCAUUAGGGUCGAUU